rnacentral:rRNA from 1 species
GACGAACCGUGCGAACGUUGUUCGGAAUCACUGGGCUUAAAGGGCGCGUAGGCGGCCGGGUUGGUCGUGGGUGAAAUCCCCCAGCUUAACUGGGGAACUGCCUACGAUACUGCCUGGCUCGAGGGAGGAAGGGGCGGUCGGAACUGUCGGUGGAGCGGUGAAAUGCGUUGAUAUCAUCAGGAACACCGGUGGCGAAGGCGGCUCUCUGGAUCUCUUCUGACGCUGAGGCACGAAAGCUAGGGGAGCAAACGGG